rnacentral:rRNA from 1 species
UUAAGUUAGAAAGGGCGCACGGUGGAUGCCUUGACACUAGGAGUCGAUGAAGGACGGGACUAACGCCGAUAUGCUUCGGGGAGCUGUAAGUAAGCUUUGAUCCGAAGAUUUCCGAAUGGGGAAACCCACCAUACGUAAUGGUAUGGUAUCCUUAUCUGAAUACAUAGGGUAAGGAAGACAGACCCAGGGAACUGAAACAUCUAAGUACCUGGAGGAAGAGAAAGCAAAUGCGAUUUCCUGAGUAGCGGCGAGCGAAACGGAACAUAGCCCAAACCAAGAGGCAAGCCUCUUGGGGUUGUAGGACAUUCUAUACGGAGUUACAAAGGAACGAGGUAGACGAAGCGACCUGGAAAGGUCCGUCGUAGAGGGUAACAACCCCGUAGUCGAAACUUCGUUCUCUCUUGAAUGUAUCCUGAGUACGGCGGAACACGUGAAAUUCCGUCGGAAUCUGGGAGGACCAUCUCCCAAGGCUAAAUACUCCCUAGUGAUCGAUAGUGAACCAGUACCGUGAGGGAAAGGUGAAAAGCACCCCGGAAGGGGAGUGAAAGAGAUCCUGAAACCGUGUGCCUACAAAUAGUCAGAGCCCGUUAACGGGUGAUGGCGUGCCUUUUGUAGAAUGAACCGGCGAGUUACGAUCCCGUGCGAGGUUAAGCUGAAGAGGCGGAGCCGCAGCGAAAGCGAGUCUGAAUAGGGCGUUUAGUACGUGGUCGUAGACCCGAAACCAGGUGAUCUACCCAUGUCCAGGGUGAAGUUCAGGUAACACUGAAUGGAGGCCCGAACCCACGCACGUUGAAAAGUGCGGGGAUGAGGUGUGGGUAGCGGAGAAAUUCCAAUCGAACCUGGAGAUAGCUGGUUCUCCCCGAAAUAGCUUUAGGGCUAGCCUUAAGUGUAAGAGUCUUGGAGGUAGAGCACUGAUUGGACUAGGGGUCCUCAUCGGAUUACCGAAUUCAGUCAAACUCCGAAUGCCAAUGACUUAUCCUUAGGAGUCAGACUGCGAGUGAUAAGAUCCGUAGUCAAAAGGGAAACAGCCCAGACCGCCAGCUAAGGUCCCAAAGUGUGUAUUAAGUGGAAAAGGAUGUGGAGUUGCUUAGACAACUAGGAUGUUGGCUUAGAAGCAGCCACCAUUUAAAGAGUGCGUAAUAGCUCACUAGUCGAGUGACUCUGCGCCGAAAAUGUACCGGGGCUAAAUACACCACCGAAGCUGCGGAUUGAUACCGAAUGGUAUCAGUGGUAGGGGAGCGUUCUAAGGACAGUGAAGUCAGACCGGAAGGACUGGUGGAGUGCUUAGAAGUGAGAAUGCCGGUAUGAGUAGCGAAAGACGGGUGAGAAUCCCGUCCACCGAAUGCCUAAGGUUUCCUGAGGAAGGCUCGUCCGCUCAGGGUUAGUCAGGACCUAAGCCGAGGCCGACAGGCGUAGGCGAUGGACAACAGGUUGAUAUUCCUGUACCACCUCUUUAUCGUUUGAGCAAUGGAGGGACGCAGAAGGAUAGAAGAAGCGUGCGAUUGGUUGUGCACGUCCAAGCAGUUAGGCUGAUAAGUAGGCAAAUCCGCUUAUCGUGAAGGCUGAGCUGUGAUGGGGAAGCUCCUUAUGGAGCGAAGUCUUUGAUUCCCCGCUGCCAAGAAAAGCUUCUAGCGAGAUAAAAGGUGCCUGUACCGCAAACCGACACAGGUAGGCGAGGAGAGAAUCCUAAGGUGUGCGAGAGAACUCUGGUUAAGGAACUCGGCAAAAUGACCCCGUAACUUCGGGAGAAGGGGUGCUUUCUUAACGGAAAGCCGCAGUGAAUAGGCCCAAGCGACUGUUUAGCAAAAACACAGCUCUCUGCGAAGCCGUAAGGCGAAGUAUAGGGGGUGACACCUGCCCGGUGCUGGAAGGUUAAGGAGAGGGGUUAGCGUAAGCGAAGCUCUGAACUGAAGCCCCAGUAAACGGCGGCCGUAACUAUAACGGUCCUAAGGUAGCGAAAUUCCUUGUCGGGUAAGUUCCGACCCGCACGAAAGGUGUAACGAUUUGGGCACUGUCUCAACCAGAGACUCGGUGAAAUUAUAGUACCUGUGAAGAUGCAGGUUACCCGCGACAGGACGGAAAGACCCCGUGGAGCUUUACUGUAGCCUGAUAUUGAAUUUUGGUACAGUUUGUACAGGAUAGGCGGGAGCCAUUGAAACCGGAGCGCUAGCUUCGGUGGAGGCGCUGGUGGGAUACCGCCCUGACUGUAUUGAAAUUCUAACCUACGGGUCUUAUCGACCCGGGAGACAGUGUCAGGUGGGCAGUUUGACUGGGGCGGUCGCCUCCUAAAGUGUAACGGAGGCGCCCAAAGGUUCCCUCAGAAUGGUUGGAAAUCAUUCGUAGAGUGCAAAGGCAUAAGGGAGCUUGACUGCGAGACCUACAAGUCGAGCAGGGACGAAAGUCGGGCUUAGUGAUCCGGUGGUUCCGCAUGGAAGGGCCAUCGCUCAACGGAUAAAAGCUACCCCGGGGAUAACAGGCUUAUCUCCCCCAAGAGUCCACAUCGACGGGGAGGUUUGGCACCUCGAUGUCGGCUCAUCGCAUCCUGGGGCUGUAGUCGGUCCCAAGGGUUGGGCUGUUCGCCCAUUAAAGCGGUACGCGAGCUGGGUUCAGAACGUCGUGAGACAGUUCGGUCCCUAUCCGUCGUGGGCGUAGGAAAUUUGAGAGGAGCUGUCCUUAGUACGAGAGGACCGGGAUGGACGCACCGCUGGUGUACCAGUUGUUCUGCCAAGGGCAUAGCUGGGUAGCUAUGUGCGGAAGGGAUAAGUGCUGAAAGCAUCUAAGCAUGAAGCCCCCCUCAAGAUGAGAUUUCCCAUAGCGUAAGCUAGUAAGAUCCCUGAAAGAUGAUCAGGUUGAUAGGUUCGAGGUGGAAGCAUGGUGACAUGUGGAGCUGACGAAUACUAAUAGAUCGAGGACUUAACCAU